GACGAACGCUGGCGGCGUGCUUAACACAUGCAAGUCGAACGGAAAGGCCCUGCUUUUGUGGGGUGCUCGAGUGGCGAACGGGUGAGUAACACGUGAGUAACCUGCCCUUGACUUUGGGAUAACUUCAGGAAACUGGGGCUAAUACCGGAUAGGAGCUCCUGCUGCAUGGUGGGGGUUGGAAAGUUUCGGCGGUUGGGGAUGGACUCGCGGCUUAUCAGCUUGUUGGUGGGGUAGUGGCUUACCAAGGCUUUGACGGGUAGCCGGCCUGAGAGGGUGACCGGCCACAUUGGGACUGAGAUACGGCCCAGACUCCUACGGGAGGCAGCAGUGGGGAAUAUUGCACAAUGGGCGGAAGCCUGAUGCAGCAUCGCCGCGUGCGGGAUGACGGCCUUCGGGUUGUAAACCGCUUUCGCCUGCGACGAAGCGUGAGUGACGGUAAUGGGUAAAGAAGCACCGGCUAACUACGUG
rnacentral:rRNA from 1 species